UUUUCACACACAUGAAGGAGUGCAACCACACCACCCACAGACUUCAAAAUUUACACUGGCUCGUCAUUCAGUUAAGGAUCUUUCCUAAAUUGCCUUCCUUGUUAUUUUGAAUUUUCUCCCUGACCUUCCUCCAGUUCCCUGAAAUGGCUUCACCUCUGUCAGCUUCUCCCUCACUCUGUGGCUUCAGUAUCAACCAUCAAGUCCUGGAGAGGACUGGCUUCCUGUUCCACCAAUAAAUCCCUGUCAGCUGAGGCGGGUGCAUAGCGAGAACUCUCCUUGCUGCCUUUUUUCCCAGCCCAAUUCUUCCUGCUCAUCCCUACCAAAUUCUUUUUCUCCCAGAGAGGUUUUUAUGACAUCCUUGCUCCAAAUCCAUUUACAAGAUUCAGUCCAAAAUCAUCAGCUGGAUAUAAUGGACCCCCCACAAUCUGGCAUCUUAAACCUUAUCUACUGCAAUUGCUCUUGCACCUUGAUUCCAGUUAGCAAUGCCUGUUCUCUAUUUUAAACAAUGACUAAUUUAUCCAACUCUAUUCAUUUGCUCAAACUAUUUUCUUGCCUACAAUAGCCUCCCAACAUUUUUCCACUCAAUCUGAGAACUCCCAAGAUUCCUUCAGCUGUUUCUACUACCUUUGGACAUGGAAUUUCAACAUAAAAAAGCAUUUUUCAGAGUUUCACUCUUGUCGCCCAGGCUGGAGUGCAAUGGUGCGAUCUUGGCUCACUGCAACCUCCGCCUCCCAGGUUCAAGCAACUCUCCUGCCUCAGUCUCCCGAGUAGCUGGGAUUACAGACACAGUCACUCUGUCAUCCAGGCUGGAGUGCAGUGACAUGAUCUCAGCUGACUGCAGCCUCCAUCUCCAUCUCCCGGGUUCAAGCAAUUCUCCUGCCUCAGCCUCCCAAGUAGCUGGGACUACAGGUUAUCAUGAGAGUGAGCCAAGGAGGAACAACUAGAGGAUGGAGUGGAGGAUCAGACAAAGCUUACCCAAGAAGUAAGAUAAAGGCUGAGAAGCUGAGGCUUGAGAAGACUUUAGGCAGGGUAAUAGUAAAAGAAGGAUCAUUCCUGGGACAAAGAACAUAAUGGUGCAAAGGUCUUUACCUAAGAAGCAUCAGUACAAGUACUAGGGACAGAGGGGGUAGAAGUGAGACAGAGAGUGGCUGGACAAAACAGGGUUCCAUCAAGCCAGGCCUCACUGGGCCAUCUUAACCUAAAAAUGCAGCUGAGGCCUGGAAGAGCCAUGUAAGCUGGAACAUCUAAAAAAGCUUUUUCCCUCCAUUCAUUUAAGAGGCUUAAGUCAUUUGGAAAAAACAUGUAUCCUAAAAUAUCAAUAAAUUAUAUGCAACUUCUCUCCCUUUAUACUGGAAGUCCUAGAUCUACAGAUAUAAUCUAAGUAUCUGUGCUUAAAUCAUUGAAAGCACAUUUAUAGAACACUAUUUUUAGAAAACUAAAUAUUCUCUCUUAACUAUAGUAUAAGUUUGUGGCUAUUACCUCUAGCAAAUCUUGAGAAACGUAGGAA
rnacentral:lncRNA from 1 species